AACGCACAUUGCGCCUCCUGGUAUUCCGGGAGGCAUGCCUGUUCGAGCGUCAUCAAAAACCUCAGUCUCUGAUUUAUCAUUGAUUGGUCCUGCAUCGGAUGCCUUGUGCAUCCCCUGCGAAAUCCAAUGGCGAAGAGCCACGCAGCCAAAGCGUAGUAUUAAUUUCUCGUGAUGGAUGUGUGAGCGCUUCUGCCGCAACCCCCAUAUCUUAGUUUUUGACCUCGGAUCAGGUAGGGAUACCCGCUGAACUUAA
rnacentral:misc_RNA from 1 species